CCAACCGUGAGGUUGGGACUGAAGGAAGCGGGACUACAAACCCUGGUACUGACGAACAGGAACCGGAUAUGAGGCUAGAAGGUUGGAUGAGCAAGCACAUCAUUGUAACGUCCGAAACACUUUUAGUGAAUACCGAAGUAGUAGAUCCGGCAGGAAUCAGGGGAAAGAAGAUGUU
rnacentral:ncRNA from 1 species